rnacentral:rRNA from 1 species
GAGGAAUAAGCAUCGGCUAACUCCGUGCCAGCAGCCGCGGUAAUACGGGGGAUGCAAGCGUUAUCCGGAAUCAUUGGGCGUAAAGCGCCUGUAGGUUGUUUAAUAAGUCUGUUGUUAAAGACUGGGGCUUAACCCCAGGAAAGCAAUGGAAACUACUAGACUAGAGUAUGGUAGGGGUAAAGGGAAUUUCUAGUGUAGCGGUGAAAUGCGUAGAUAUUAGAAAGAACACCGGUGGCGAAAGCGCUUUACUGGACCAUUACUGACACUCAGAGGCGAAAGCUAGGGUAGCCAAAGGGAUUAGAUACCCCUGUAGUCCUAGCCGUAAACGAUGGAUACUAGAUGUUGCGCUUAUUGUGCAGUGUCGUAGCUAACGCGUUAAGUAUCCCGCCUGGGGAGUACGAUCGCAAGGUUGAAACUCAAAGGAAUUGACGGGGGCCCGCACAAGCGGUGGAGCAUGUGGUUUAAUUCGAUGCAACGCGAAGAACCUUACCAGGGCUUGACAUACUGCAAAUUUUCUUGAAAGAGAAAAGUGCCUUCGGGAAUGCAGAUACAGGUGGUGCAUGGCUGUCGUCAGCUCGUGUCGUGAGAUGUUGGGUUAAGUCCCGCAACGAGCGCAACCCUCGUUUUUAGUUGCCAUUUUAUGGGUUCUCUAGAAAGACUGCCGGUGACAAACCGGAGGAAGGUGGGGAUGACGUCAAGUCAGCAUGCCCCUUAUGCCCUGGGCUACACACGUGCUACAAUGGCUAAGACAAAGAGUCGCGAAUUCGCGAGAAUCAGCUAAUCUCAUAAACUUAGUCUAAGUUCAGAUUGUAGGCUGCAACUCGCCUGCGUGAAG